GUGCUCGCUUUGGCAGCACACACACUAAAACUGGAGCGAUACAGAGAAGAUUAGCAUGGCCCCUGCGCAAGGAUGACAGGAAAAUUCGUGAAGCGUUCCACAUUUUA